UCUCCCCGAAAGCUAUUUAGGUAGCGCCUCGUGAACUCAUCUUCGGGGGUAGAGCACUGUUUCGGCUAGGGGGUCAUCCCGACUUACCAACCCGAUGCAAACUACGAAUACCGAAGAAUGUUAUCACGGGAGACACACGGCGGGUGCUAACGUCCGUCGUGAAGAGGGAAACAACCCAGACCGCCAGCUAAGGUCCCAAAGUCAUGGUUAAGUGGGAAACGAUGUGGGAAGGCACAGACAGCCAGGAUGUUGGCUUAGAAGCAGCCAUCAUUUAAAGAAAGCGUAAUAGCUCACUGGUCGAGUCGGCCUGCGCGGAAGAUGUAACGGGGCUAAACCAUGCACCGAAGCUGCGGCAGCGACACUAUGUGUUGUUGGGUAGGGGAGCGUUCUGUAAGCCUGCGAAGGUGAGCUGUGAGGCAUGCUGGAGGUAUCAGAAGUGCGAAUGCUGACAUAAGUAACGAUAAAGCGGGUGAAAAGCCCGCUCGCCGGAAGACCAAGGGUUCCUGUCCAACGUUAAUCGGGGCAGGGUGAGUCGACCCCUAAGGCGAGGCCGAAAGGCGUAGUCGAUGGGAAACAGGUUAAUAUUCCUGUACUUGGUGUUACUGCGAAGGGGGGACGGAGAAGGCUAUGUUAGCCGGGCGACGGUUGUCCCGGUUUAAGCAUGUAGGCUGGUUGUCCAGGCAAAUCCGGAUAAUCAAGGCUGAGGUGUGAUGACGAGGCACUACGGUGCUGAAGUAACAAAUGCCCUGCUUCCAGGAAAAGCCUCUAAGCAUCAGGUAACAUUAAAUCGUACCCCAAACCGACACAGGUGGUCAGGUA
rnacentral:rRNA from 1 species